AGAGUUUGAUCCUGGCUCAGGAUGAACGCUGGCGGCGUGCCUAACACAUGCAAGUCGAGCGAUUCUCUUCGGAGAAGAGCGGCGGACGGGUGAGUAACGCGUGGGUAACCUGCCCUGUACACACGGAUAACAUACCGAAAGGUAUGCUAAUACGAGAUAAUAUGCUUUUAUCGCAUGGUAGAAGUAUCAAAGCUCCGGCGGUACAGGAUGGACCCGCGUCUGAUUAGCUAGUUGGUAAGGUAACGGCUUACCAAGGCGACGAUCAGUAGCCGACCUGAGAGGGUGAUCGGCCACAUUGGAACUGAGACACGGUCCAAACUCCUACGGGAGGCAGCAGUGGGGAAUAUUGCACAAUGGGCGAAAGCCUGAUGCAGCAACGCCGCGUGAGCGAUGAAGGCCUUCGGGUCGUAAAGCUCUGUCCUCAAGGAAGAUAAUGACGGUACUUGAGGAGGAAGCCCCGGCUAACUACGUGCCAGCAGCCGCGGUAAUACGUAGGGGGCUAGCGUUAUCCGGAAUUACUGGGCGUAAAGGGUGCGUAGGUGGUUUCUUAAGUCAGAGGUGAAAGGCUACGGCUCAACCGUAGUAAGCCUUUGAAACUGGGAAACUUGAGUGCAGGAGAGGAGAGUGGAAUUCCUAGUGUAGCGGUGAAAUGCGUAGAUAUUAGGAGGAACACCAGUUGCGAAGGCGGCUCUCUGGACUGUAACUGACACUGAGGCACGAAAGCGUGGGGAGCAAACAGGAUUAGAUACCCUGGUAGUCCACGC
rnacentral:rRNA from 1 species